rnacentral:tRNA from 1 species
ACACUGGUGGUUCAGUGGUAGAAUUCUUGUCUUCCAUGCGGAAGACCCAGGUUCGAUUCUGGGCCAAUGCA